CCGGUAAGUAAGAAACAGAAACAGCUUUUAAACUAUUUAGGAGACUGUCUUUGGUCAAACUUGAAUAAUGAACAUCCUUCUUAUUAAGAUGCUGCUUCCUCAUUGGUUUAUGUUGAAACACAAGUGUAAUUUCCUGUCCCCUCACAGUGUUGGUUUCUCAUCUCAGUGCAAGCAGAUUUAUCUGGCUCCUCGGUCGACAAAAUCAUCUCCUCAAGAAACAUGGAAACAAAGGCAUUUAAAAAGAGAUGUCAGUCUCUGUGAAAACAAAGCCUUCUGUAUUCACAUGUGCACCGAUCUCUUCUGAGUUUUGCAAAGAAAAACAAGUUGGAGACCACACUCUGUGGACACCGAGGGAUGACCCAGGUGAUUGCUGGGGGUUCUUCAUCAGCAUUCUGUGAUAACAAGAACGUGGACUCCUUCUCGUUGAGAUCCAUGACCAUUUGCGCUAACUGCCAGGAGGCUGGAUUCUGACUUCCAACCACUGAUAUCUUUGUGAAAAUCAGUCUACAUCCACCCUUUAAAAGCACUAACGAAUUAAUCAGAACUUUGGAAAGCAAAGAAGAAUUGAGAAAUUUUAGUAAAAGAAUGAGAUGUUAAAAACAAACUAGAAGGAGGCAAGGCUUCGCCUUGCUAUUGACCUUCUCAGACCAAAUGCAACUGCUGCCUUAAAACGAAAAGCAAA
ensembl:lncRNA